rnacentral:lncRNA from 1 species
CUGUCCCAUGUGUCGGGCAUGCUGCUGCUGGGGCUGUGUUCUGUGUCUGCACCUUGCACACCCCUCCUCUCACCCAGAAACCCCAUUGCUUUUGCAGAAAGUUCUCUGUCCCUACUCACGCCAGCAAGAAGGCAAUGGCAGCGGUGGCACUUCUCGCGGGUGACAUAGCGUGGGUGACCACAGGAUGACAGCUUCGUGCACCAAACCCCGCUCAGCUCCGUCUGUCUGAGCUGCCUUUAAAUAAAACCACUCCAUCUCCACGGGGAGAAAUCUCACCCUGAAGGUGGAAAGGCUCCUUCCUCUCUGCAUCCGCCUGCGCUAAAGGUCCCGCGCGGCACAGCAGCACUGCGCCCUGGGUGCAGCCGGACGGAGCACACUGCCCUGCAGAGCUCCAAACACCGCUCCCGGAUCCAGGCUGGGGUACGAAUCCCAAUCUCUGUUCCCGUUUGGGUUUCGUUACCCCGCGGGGCGCCGUCUUACAAAAGCCCAGAGUCAGGAAAUAGUUAAGCGCUACAGUAUUUUGAUUAGCAGAGCCUUAAAGUCAGUAAAAGACAGUCAGAGAGAACUAUCAGGAGCAUGCUAAUGAAGUGAAGUCAUCAGCAGACACCAGGGACGGAUUCAUGCCUGCUCCACGCCGCGCCGGACCGCCGGGCUGCAGGAACGUGCGGGCAGGUGGACGGGGGCUGACGGCGAGGGGCUCCCCUGGAUAUCGCCGGAGCCUGAUGGCAUUUCCAGCCCCGCUGGAGCCGCGGGAGGACUGGAGAUAGCGCAGAGAGAGACUGGGAAGGCAGCACAGGGCAGCUUCCGACUCGCGGGGAAAGACAAAUCUACGCUGGAGCCGAUGACGCGACGACGCUGUUUAAUUUACAAAAAGGCGCAUGGUGAAAACAGGCAUUUUUGUUGGUGGUAAAUGAAAGAAAAACACGUAGAAGAGGUUUUGUUCCCAACCAGAUGGGAUUAACCCAUUCAAGAUGAGGAGCUCCUGCAAUGUGCACAGGGAGUGCCGAUGAGGACCGCAUCGCUUUGCAGCGCCGACGGCUCAGCCCCACACGCGCAUGGAUCCUCAGCCGCUCUCCAGGUCGGUCCCCAGAUUUGGUGCUUUCUGCCCCAAAGUAGUUUUAAUUUUCCUAUCACAGCGACGUCCAAACUUGUGACACCGAGAAUGUGCUUGGCUGCUGAGGAUACCCGGCUUCUGGGCUGAUGUGGAUUCCCGCAAUGCGCUCAUUUCAAGUAACGCUUCCUUAAAUAAAAGCCCUCGAUUUUAUCCAUAUGGAGGUUAGAAUUAUCUCAAUCCUAUAAUGUCAACACGGGAUCUCUUGGGCCUAGGGACUCCCAGUGGGACUGGCGACGCAAUUCCUUUUUAAUCUUACAUCAGAAGCAGCGCGCUUCCUUCUCUACCGCUCUAAAAUCAUAAGGAGAGUCAUCCGAAAAGCGACAGUUCUCUGUCUGCACACCCAGCCCGUGUGCCCCAGCCCUGCUCUGCACAGUGCCAUGGGACUGGCAUCCAGGUGGGAAGGAUGGGAACACAUAGGAUGUGCAGCUCCGUCCCCACAGCACGGAGCAUCCUCGUGCAUCGCGGCUGCACCUGGGCACAUCACAGGGAGCGAGGUGUUGUGAGAAUGGCUGUAAUUAAAAGAGAGGAAAAUUAGAGAAAAAUAAGGGAUAUUAGAGGAUUUCUUCCUUUCUUCUCUCCCUUGUCCUGUCUGCGGGAGCUGUGCACAGGCAUCCCAUGGCAGGACGCUGGUUGUGGGUGCAUGUGGGCAAACUGGUGACCCCUUACAGAUGUCUCCUGGGGGCAGGAAUGCACUUCUAUGCAACUUUGCUGGGCUGCCCCCCACUCUCUGGGUGACAUUUGCUCAGUACACCCCAAAGCAAGCGUUGGUUAAGGCAACAAUUUGCAGUGGGCACUGCAGGAGAGCGGUGGUUUGCUGUGAGGCAAUGGGGUGCCAGCAAAACUUGGGGUUGGCGGUGCUCUCCAGGGCUGGAAUGGAGCUCAGCCCACCCAGGAUAUGGGCUUAGGGGUCUCUGGAGCCCUCCAUGGCCAGCAGAUGUGCCCGGAGUUCUUCUGCUGCUCUGAUUUUGCUGUGGUUUCAGUGCAUCGCGCUCAGGAUCGAAGCACCCAGGGACCCAAAAGUCCUUUAGCAGAGCUGCCAUAGAUCCCAUGGAAUGAAACACCCUGGAAUCGCCCGCCGUCCUCCUUGGCUGCCCGUCCUUGGAGGAGAAAGGUGUUAAAGGGCCAGUGGCCCACUACUAAGCAACAGUUACCAACAACCUUAAGCAAAUAAAAUACGUGAGAUUAUGAAAACAGGGGAACUGCAGCUGAUUCCCAACAUCUCUGUGGUGUGAGUCAGUAGAGCACGUCUGCUGCUCCCUGCUCGUUCCUAGAUGACAGCAUCCACACAUCAAAUCCGCUGGCCCUUGGAGAUCAAACAUCCCCUAAUAUUUAUGGUGGUUUCAAAUAGCAUGCAUUUCUCUGGCUGCUAGAUAACACCAGCAAGGAGCUGGGAUUUACAUGUUUCUGUUCUGAAGGGGUUUUGGUUUGGUUUGGUUUUUAAUAAGGCUCGGUUGUAGGGCGGUUCGAACACCGUGUGCUGUUCCUAUGUGCCUUUUGGCAUAGCUCGUGCCGUCCCAUUGCAAGACAGGUCACCAAAUCCUGACUCCACACCAGCUGAGGGAAAUCAUUCAUCAAUGAGCUAGGGAAGAGGAGGGCAUUUGCCCAGCAGCGUUCAGAGAUGGGUUUUUAUGCAGAAACUCAGGAUUUGAGUAGCAGAGGGGGAUUUCAGGGCGGUCAGCUGCCUCUUUCACUCUGCAGGAAUUGGGAGAGUGGGAUCAGGCACUUUUGCCAUCCCGUAGGCUGCGUGUUUGGCUUUGUGCUGGUUCUGGUUGCUAUGGUAUGAUGAGGAUGGCGUUUGGGGUUGGUGGGUGGGAGCUCCGCAGAGGUCUGGAUGUGACCUUAGAUGACUCGUGUCUGCUCUGCAAGAUGGGCCUUUGGGGAUGAGUGCGGUGCGUCACUUUCUUAGCCUGUGCUUUACCAUCACUUUUCAUCCUGCUGGGCUGAGCCUGAGGAUGCUGCCCUGUGUUUCUCAACCCUCCCACCACGGCUGCAACCUCCCCUGAUGAAAUUCACCCAGAACUUUGGUCUGUCCCCUCCGUGGAGUGCUCACCUUUUCCUGCACAGAUGGUGCUGGGGCGCAGGAUGGAGCCCUUCAGCCUGGUACCACUGGGAGCCCUUCUGCUGCUGCUCUCCAUCACCUGGCAUGGCUGGUGCCCCAUGAGCUGUGCCCAAAGGGGCUUUGCUGAAGAAAUGCCACCAGUCUGUAGGAACGUGGCACUGCUCUGCAACUCAACAUAUCCCACACUGUGGGAAUCUCCUGCCUGGAGGCGCAGAGAGGGCAAGGAGCUCCUCCAUGAUCUUCCACCUCCUCUUCCAGAGGAUGAGAGGCAGGAGGUUGCUCCAGCACAGGGGCAGUGAUGUGCUUCAGAGACAGACUCCAGGUUCAUUUAUCUGCAAAAAAAAAAAAAAAAAAAAAGGACACAGUUCCAUGGCAGCUCAGAGCCUGGGCACACUUUGGUGGAGGCGCUGGGUGGCAUCACACACGCUGCAUGGGACAGGCUGUGACCACAGGCUUCUGCAGCAGCAUCUGCCCCAGCACUGCCACCUCCACCCCAUGUCCCUGGUCCCAUACCAUGUCCCUGAUCCUCACGGUGCAUCCCUUGGGGACACCAUCCUGCACAGCCUUCCCUCCAGGAAUGGGUGCAGCGAGAUGUCAUGCUGGUUCCUCCCAGGACACCUGAUGACUGGCCGUGCAGGGCAGACUGCACCUGCAAGUGGCUUUGGGAGCAAGAAAACUUGUUAACCCCACAAUC